rnacentral:rRNA from 1 species
GAUGAACGCUGGCGGCGUGCCUAAUACAUGCAAGUCGAGCGAACAGACGAGGAGCUUGCUCCUCUGACGUUAGCGGCGGACGGGUGAGUAACACGUGGAUAACCUACCUAUAAGACUGGGAUAACUUCGGGAAACCGGAGCUAAUACCGGAUAAUAUAUUGAACCGCAUGGUUCAAUAGUGAAAGACGGUUUUGCUGUCACUUAUAGAUGGAUCCGCGCCGCAUUAGCUAGUUGGUAAGGUAACGGCUUACCAAGGCAACGAUGCGUAGCCGACCUGAGAGGGUGAUCGGCCACACUGGAACUGAGACACGGUCCAGACUCCUACGGGAGGCAGCAGUAGGGAAUCUUCCGCAAUGGGCGAUAGCCUGACGGAGCAACGCCGCGUGAGUGAUGAAGGUCUUCGGAUCGUAAAACUCUGUUAUUAGGGAAGAACAAAUGUGUAAGUAACUAUGCGCGUCUUGACGGUACCUAAUCAGAAAGCCACGGCUAACUACGUG